AAAACCUGACAGGGGGAGAUACCUUGAUCACAAAGGUGGUUUUCCCAGGGCAAAGUUUAUCCACUGCACUUAGAUCUGCUGACCCGUGUGAUUACUUCAAAUUUGAGACACUUGACUGCAUUAUUUGUGGCAGCUGGGGGACUGUAUUUGUGCCCUUCCCUG
ensembl:snRNA U1 U1 spliceosomal RNA